rnacentral:rRNA from 1 species
GACGAACCGUGCGAACGUUAUUCGGAAUCACUGGGCUUAAAGGGCGCGUAGGCGGGCCCGUCAGUCAGGGGUGAAAUCCCACGGCCCAACCGUGGAAGUGCCUCUGAUACUGCGGGCCUCGAGGGGGAUAGGGGCGUGCGGAACUCAGGGUGGAGCGGUGAAAUGCGUAGAUAUCCUGAGGAACACCGGUGGCGAAAGCGGCGCGCUGGAUCCCUUCUGACGCUGAGGCGCGAAAGCCAGGGGAGCAAACGGG